UACGGGGGGAGCAAGCGUUGUUCGGAUUUACUGGGCGUAAAGGGCGCGUAGGCGGCCACCGCAAGUCGAUUGUGAAAUCUCCGGGCUUAACCCGGAAAGGUCAACCGAUACCGCGGGGCUAGAGUGCAGAAGGGGCAACUGGAAUUCUCGGUGUAGCGGUGAAAUGCGUAGAUAUCGAGAGGAACACCUGCGGCGAAGGCGGGUUGCUGGGCUGACACUGACGCUGAAGUGCGAAAGCUAGGGGAGCGAACGGG
rnacentral:rRNA from 1 species